UUUUUCUCUUUUUCUUUAAACCCUUUGCUUUGCUGUAACAUUUUCAUUUCACUCAUUGUACACGUUUGUAUACGUGCUGAUAUUCAUUCAGCUUAUACGUGUUAAUUCUCCACCACUAUCUCCGUUUAUCUCCAAUCCAGAGAAUCACCGCCUCGAUCUACAAGCAUCCGAUCGAUGUUCAAAACCCAGGCGCACCUUCACAUAUUCUCUACCUCCAUCGGCGGCUUUCAACGACAUUAUUCCUCUCCUCUCGAUCCUUUCUCAUUGCCAUUGCAACCACCGCCCGGUGGUCUCUCCUCCACCAUUUACCCAAGAUGGUCACAAUGGACAUCACUGCCGCCCUACGCAUCGUCUACCUCCUGCAAACGUGCGCAAAAUAAACCAAAGUACCACCACAUCAUCUACCUCCUGCAAAGGUUCGCAGUACCGGAUUCGCUAGAGCCAUAUGCCAAUGUCGACAUCGGAAGACCACAACUUGCAACAGGUUGGUUCAUCUUCUCCCUCAAUUUUCUGGAUUAGGUUUAAUGCAUCUGCUCAGUCCGAUGUUUCUAUUUUCAUUGUCUUCUACUUCUACCAUUGUUUCCCAAGAAAGCCCUAACAUUGAUUUCUUAGAGAUGAUUAGUAAUCGACUGUUCUUUUAUUAUUUCUGCGAAUGGGGUUGUCACUAAAAACCAAGAAGCUGAAGCCUUGAAGAAAAAGAAUGAUGCCACUAAGAACCCUAAACCAUCCAACCAAUUCCCAUAUGCUUGCUGUGAUUUUUUUCUUUGCGUUUUGCUUUUGAUGAGUUUCUUUUAUGGUUAUGUAUAUGAUUUUUACAAAUCGAAAGACCACAAAUCGUUCGAAGAUUCAUGGGAAGUCGCAUCCUUCACUAUAGAGGUAUCUCUCUCUACUUUAUCUAUCUAAAAUCUUUCAGUUCUUUAGCUGUGGGAGUUUCACAAAACCAUUAGGAAAAUGUAAGUGUUGUAGUCUUUCGUUUUUCUUGAAUGCAAAUAUGUGUCUCACAGAUUGAGCAUGAUGAUGCGUGUAUAACAGGUAGAAUAGGCUGAAUCUGAAGGCAAUAGAUGCAGAGCAACUAAGACAACAUGAGCACAAGAUGAUUGCUUUCAUUGCCGAUUACUACAAAAGUAUAGAGAGUUUCCCCGUUCUCAACCAUGUUGAGGUUGGAGUUCGCAUACGGGAAUGAAGUCAAAAGACGAAGAGGUGGAUUUUCACCAACAAGAUAUUCAAGUUAAAGUUAUUCCAUGUAAAACCCUCACAAUAUACUUUAGCUUUAAAUAUUACAUGUAUGGAUUCUAAUUUCAAGAUUAUUGGAAUAUUUUUACACUUGAAUGAACAUUUUUAACUAUGUAAAUUUUUCUAUAGAUCUUGAACUGUUAAAUUCAUGAUGGCAA